GCCUGGCUAGCUCAGUCGGUAGAGUGUGAGACUCUUAAUCUUAGGAUUGUGGGUUUGAGCCCCAUGCUGGGUG